rnacentral:rRNA from 1 species
AUUGAACGCUGGCGGCAUGCCUUACACAUGCAGGUCGAACGGCAGCACGGGGGCAACCCUGGUGGCGAGUGGCGAACGGGUGAGUAAUGCAUCGGAACGUGCCCCGUAGCGGGGGAUAACCAGUCGAAAGACUGGCUAAUACCGCAUACGCUCCACGGAGGAAAGCAGGGGAUCGCAAGACCUUGCACUAUGGGAGCGGCCGAUGCCCGAUUAGCUAGUUGGUGAGGUAAAGGCUCACCAAGCGACGAUCGGUAGCUGGUUUGAGAGAACGACCAGCCACACUGGGACUGAGACACGGCCCAGACUCCUACGGGAGGCAGCAGUGGGGAAUUUUGGACAAUGGGCGCAAGCCUGAUCCAG